UACGGGGCGCAGCAGUGGGGAAUUUUGCGCAAUGGGGGGAACCUUGACGCAGCGACGCCGCGUGGUGAUGAAGGCCUUCGGGUUGUAAAUCCCUGUUGGGGGGGAAGAUAAUGACGGUACCCCCUGAGGAAGCCCCGGCUAACUACGUGCCAGCAGCCGCGGUAAGACGUAGGGGGCGAGCGUUGUCCGGAAUUACUGGGCGUAAAGGGCGUGUAGGCGGCUUUUCAAGUCGGCUGUGAAAUUCCCCGGCUUAACCGGGGGGGUGCAGUCGAAACUGAUGGGCUUGAGUGCAGGAGAGGGUGGUGGAAUUCCCGGUGUAGCGGUGACAUGCGUAGAUAUCGGGAGGAACGCCGGUGGCGAAGGCGACCUCCUGGCCUGUUACUGACGCUGAGGCGCGAAAGCUGGGGGAGCAAACAGGAUUAGAUACCCUGGUAGUCCCAGCUGUAAACUCUGGGUACUAGGUGUGGGGGGCUUCGAUGCCCUCUGUGCCGUAGUUAACGCAUUAAGUACCCCGCCUGGGGAGUACGAUCGCAAGGUUGAAACUCAAAGGAAUUGGCGGGGGAGCAC
rnacentral:rRNA from 1 species